AACGCACAUUGCGCCCCUUGGUAUUCCGGGGGGCAUGCCUGUUCGAGCGUCAUUUCACCACUCAAGCCUGGCUUGGUAUUGGGUGCCGCGGGCCUCGCCCGCGCGCCUUAAAGUCUUUCCGGCUGAGCGACCCGUCUCUAAGCGUUGUGGCAACUAUUCGCGGUGAGAUCGGGUGGCGACGGCCGUUAAAUCUUUCUAAAGGUUGACCUCGGAUCAGGUAGGGAUACCCGCUGAACUUAA
rnacentral:misc_RNA from 1 species